UGUAAAAUAGCAGGGUAACUGAUGACAAGCAGCCCAAGGAAUCCCGGCCAGACGCAAACAGCGUCCCUGGUUGAUUGGUGAUCGUGAUGCCUCACUCCACAGAGUCAGCACGGCAGCCACGCUGCUGUUCCAAGUGGCGGGAAGCAGGAGCGGGGCUGGGGUUCACGCUCCGCGGGAGUGCGGGGGAAGCCAUCAGGGUGAACAGUCAGCGUCCUGGGCCUCAGCCCUAAGCGAGUUUCACUCACUCGGCGAGUCUGGGGCUGUGUCCUGAACCCGCCUUUGUAACCUGCAUUUCAGGUGAUUGCUGGACCGGCGAUCUGCAGUCUUGUGUUUUGAAAAGCAGUUCCUGGAAUUCCUGCUACUGUGUCCCUGCUCCAAAGACUCGCCUGUGAACACCCAGUGGACGCCAGGUUUUGGCAGGUUUUUGGUUAUUUGCUCAGCCCUCAAAGCCCCAAAUACCCUCACAUCAGCUGCUCACCUGCUGCGGUUCAACUGCCCAACAACAGUCUCUCGCGUUGGCUAUGCCAGCCCGGACCCUCUCCCUGGGAUCACACAGUACCCACCACCGGGGGUGUCCAGUGUCCAGUGGGUCCUUCCUGCACAGAAACAAACCCAGAGGCUAUGCAGGCCGACCCUCCCGGUGCCCCUCUGUGCGGAGCGCUGAUCCUCCCGGUUCCCCGCGGGCCGCGCGGGUCACACUUGGAAGGCCGUCUGCCAGUCACGCCCAUGGGCGACGCCGGAAGGCCUUUGUGCAGCGGUGUGUCCAGGGGCCCAGGCCUUGGGGUGCGGCUCCCGGCUGGCAGCAACGACGGGGCGCAGCGCCGUGACAAGCCCGGGCGCCCCGAGCCUCUCUCCUUGGAGCCGCCUUGGGCCACGACGACACUCUGAGUCCGUGGCCUGGGAAACCUGGGUCCCCAGCACGUCGGCGGGAGCAGAGCUUGGUU